CGUGUGUGUGCGUGCGUGUGUGUGUGCUCACUAACCCAGUCCACGAUGAGGAUCUUGCCUACUCCCAGUUUAUGCUGGAGUAGCUUGGCAGUGAUGGCUACUGAAUUGAAGAAGCAAAACCCCCUGCUCUCACACAGACAAAUGCAUCUACGAACAUGGCAGUGGAUUCUUCUGCAUGAUGCCCUGGCGGACGCACGACUGCAAAGCCAUUCUGGCACAGAGACAGAAAAAAGACGGUCAAGAAGGCAGUAAGUUCGAAAGGACGCAAGUUCUAAAAAUGGAACCGACUUAUGAUGACCAGAGAAAGAUGGUGAGAGAAAAAGACACACCCCUAUUCCUCCACACGGAAGAACAGCAUACAUCUUCUGGCUGAUUGGACCUGAAACAACAGGUAUUGGUGUACACAAGACGAGACAGCGGUAAAGGACAUAUUACUUUAAAUCAACUUCAACGGUCAAAAUCAAAUAAAAAUACAGAGGUUCCUUGACAUACGAGUGAUCCGACCUACAAGUUUUUCGAGAUAUAAGCCUUUGCUUUGACUUGUGAGCAAAAU